rnacentral:rRNA from 1 species
AGAGAGAGACAUGCGCGCAUAUCAAUAAGCGGAGGAAAAGAAACUAACAAGGAUUCCCCUAGUAACGGCGAGUGAAGCGGGAAGAGCUCAAAUUUGAAAUCUUAAAGGGUUUCCCUUUACGAAUUGUAGUUUAAAGAAGCGUUUUCUGCUGAGGUUUUGGUAAAAGUUCUUUGGAAUAGGACAUCAUAGAGGGUGAGAAUCCCGUAUUUGACCUUUACUUUCAACUUUGUGAUACACUUUCAAAGAGUCGGAUUGUUUGGGAAUGCAGUCCAAAAUGGGUGGUAAAUUUCAUCUAAAGCUAAAUAUUGGCGAGAGACCGAUAGCGAACAAGUACCGUGAGGGAAAGAUGAAAAGAACUUUGAAAAGAGAGUUAAACAGUACGUGAAAUUGUCAAAAGGGAAGCGUUUGACACCAGUGUUGUUUUUCUGAAAAUCAAUUAAAGAACUGUUUAUGCUAAGUUGUUUAGACUUUAUCAGCUAACUGUUUAGUUUUGAGCUUUUCUUUAAUGCACUUUUCAGUUAACAAGUCAACAUCAAUUUCUUUUGCUGUAAAAAAGCUUGAGGAAGGUGGCUUGAGAUUCGUCUUAAGUGUUUAUAGCCUCUUGCCUAUGCAGUCGGAGAGAUUGAGGUCUGCAGCGUAGAUCCUUCGGGGCUAAAUGCAUUUGUGCUAAGUUAUAGCAUUUUAUAGACAACUUGUUGACUAUGAUUUGUCUUGAUAGCUUACUCGCUUAUGUUAUUUUACCUACGCUUAGGAUGUUGAGCGCAUGUCUCUCUCU